UACGUAGGGUGCAAGCGUUAAUCGGAAUUACUGGGCGUAAAGCGUGCGCAGGCGGUUUUGUAAGUCUGUCGUGAAAGCCCCGGGCUCAACCUGGGAACUGCCUUCGAUACUGCGGGUCUCGAGUCCGGGAGAGGUGAGUGGAAUUCCUAGUGUAGAGGUGAAAUUCGUAGAUAUUAGGAAGAACACCAGUGGCGAAGGCGGCUCACUGGCCCGGUACUGACGCUGAGGAGCGAAAGCGUGGGGAGCGAACAGG
rnacentral:rRNA from 1 species